CUAGGGCUAGCGGCGGUGGAGAGGGCCCGGAAACGCCAGGCAUCUAGGAUAACAUGGCUGCAAGCAGGCGAUGCCCAAACAGCCUUCUUCCAGGCCUAGAUCAAUGGCAGGCACCGAAAAAACUUCAUCCACUCAUUGCAAGGACCGGCUGGAGUUGCCACAACUCAUGAUGAAAAGGAGGAACUAGUCCACAGCCAUUUCGAUAGAUCUUUAGGGACUAGACAGGGCCGAGCCAGCACAAUUGAUUGGAGCUACAUCGACAUGCCAAGGGUGCAAGGCGGCGGCCUAGACAACCCUUUCACCGAGCACGAAGUGUGGCAAGCAAUCAAACAAUGGCCGGCGGAGAAAUCACCUGGCCCGGACGGGUUCUCCGGCGUUUUCUUCAGAAUUUGCUGGCAAACCAUAAAGAGGGAUAUCAUGGAGGUUUUUCAUCAGUUCUACCACCUCGCCGGAGGAAAUUUCCAGAUGCUCAACACAACUGCUGUAGUGCUCCUUCCAAAGAAAGACGGCGCCGCUACAAUCACCGGCUACAGGCCCAUUAGUUUGAUACACUCCAUAGCAAAACUGAUCUCGAAAGUUCUCUCCCUCCGCUUAGCAACGGUGAUUCAGAACUUGAUCUCCCUGGCGCAGACGGCUUUCCUCUGA
rnacentral:rRNA from 1 species